GGGGAUUUGGCUCAGUGGUAGAGCGCUUGACUAGGAAGCACAAGGUCCUGGGUUCGGUCCCCAGCCCCG
rfam:Rattus norvegicus chromosome 16, whole genome shotgun sequence.